CCCUUAGAUGUUCUGGGCUGCACGCGCGCUACACUGAUGCGCUCAACGAGUUUUAACCUUGCCUGGAAAGGUUGGGUAAUCUUUUUAAAACGCAUCGUGAUGGGGAUAGAUUAUUGCAAUUAUUAAUCUUCAACGAGGAAUUCCUAGUAAGCGCGAGUCAUCAGCUCGUGCUGAUUACGUCCCUGCCCUUUGUACACACCGCCCGUCGCUCCUACCGAUUGAAUGAUCCGGUGAAAUCUCAGGACUGGUGACUCUUGUUGGUUCGCCAACGAUAGUCACCGGGAAUUUGCUUAAACCUUAUCAUUUAGAGGAAGGAGAAGUCGUAACA
rnacentral:rRNA from 1 species